AUUUCUAGCUCCAGUAUAUUUAACCGAGAAAAUCUUUCGCCUUUUACUAAAGAUUUUCGUUCGUUGGAGCAAUUAUGGGUAUUUGACAGAUUUUGCAAUGUCCUCGAAAGGUACGACAU
rnacentral:snRNA from 1 species